CUGAAACCAGCGUAUGAGUUGCAAUUUAGCCUUUUAAGAGUAGUUAAAACCCAGUGCAGUCACCGCGCGCCAGUGGCAAACACGGGAGCUCCCUGUUCCACUCCCGCAGCUGUCCGGACCGUGAGGAGUUUAAGCAACCUGCGACUGCGGGUAGGGCUCAGGGGCCCUGAGCCUGCCACCCUUAUCUGCUCCUUCAAACACCUCCUGCUUUAACACAAAAUAAAUUUUGAAGGGUCUUUGGAGAAGUUGAGGCUGGACAAGCCUCAUUCACCAUAUUCCCCUCUCUUCCUAAAUACUCUCUGGAUUUAUUGCCUUUAAAAUGUGAUUUAGGUACAAUAUAACCACUGUGCCCACAGUAUGGAUUUUUAUAACUACAUUUCUUUAAAAAUGAAAUUCAUGUCAGAUUAUGCAGUUAAAGAAAUUGACCUUGAUAGCUUCCUAUAAUAAAACUGUAUCAGCUUGUAAUAAAUGCGGAUUACGGCAAAGCAAGAUCCAGAAUUAAAAUUCCCUGAAUCAAUAUAUGAAAAUCUGUAGGAAACAUCUCUAAUCGUAUUAAGUUCAUCUUUAUAGCAUUUCCUAUCUGCUAAUCUAGUGCAAAAACAACUCUGGGUUGGAAGAAUUUAUUUUUCUUAUUAAAUGUCUCUGCUUUUGAUAGUCUAAUGCACAGGGCGUAACAAUAUUAAAUUCAGUUAUAAGUGUAUUUCUUUUUAAUUCGAAGGAAAACAGCGAGAGAACCCCACGUCCUGUUUUCCUUCAGAGGUUGCUGUGUGCAGCGACCGGCGGGGCGGGGGCUGCCACCGAGGGACCAAAACUUGGACAAAUACGUGUCCGGGGGGCAAAUGGGGAGAAUACGAAAAAUUGGGGCUAAUGGAAUGAGUCAUCGACAGAGUGGAUUAUUUAAAGCACCAUGAGCUGGGCAUAUCAAAGCUUUUGACACGACUUGGGAAUGAUAGCGUUGCCCAUCGCUGCUGGUUUGAGCAAAAGGCUGCCGUUAUGCCCCCCUCACCUUCUAAGGGCUCUGGCGCUGUGUAGCUCCAGCUGGGAACGGGGUCUUUCCCCCCUGUUCCCAGCAGUGCCCUUCCGCCCUCGGCCUGCUGCACAGCUCUCCUUGCCUUUUAGAUCAGGUAAUUUAAGGGGGAAGGGGAAAAUUAUAUUUAAAAAAGGAAAAAAAAAAAAUCAAAGCUAAUGCAACAUUGUCACACAUUGACUGCUAAGCACUCCCUAUACACCUACUUACCCAGGGCUUGUGGAUUUGUCAUGUCAUAUUCUAUGACAGUCAGAUAAUAAUAUCUCACCCCGGAUAAGAUGCAUGGAUUUUUAAAAUGUCAGUCAACAUGACUGAUUUUUUUUAUUUAGCAUUUCAAAAUCCCCUUAUUUUCACCUACCUUGGGAAAAAAAAAUAAAUAUCUGGGCUACAUGUCCAUCUUUAUGUGCCACAUCUCGGUGAGAUGAAUAUGUUGGCUUAUUGGACAGUAAAAGGCCAGUCUCUAGGUGACAACUGGGCAGCCAUUAUUCAGCAUUUUAUUCAUGCAUAUUUAGAGGAUGGUAAUAAGGAUUUUUGCAUUGUUGCAUUAAAAUGGUCAAUUCCCAGCAGUUUUGAUGGAAAGGAAGUGAAACAUAUGAGAUAGCUAAGUGUCCAGUCACAGCUGGGAUUUCAAGUGAUUUUCCUUCACUUAGCUGUGCACUCUGACUCCCAGACAGGCCUGGCUCUGGAAAGGUGAGCUCACUCCUCUCCCCUUACCUCCAUUUGAGCAGGUUUUUACACACUACUUUUGCUGCUGUUACUUAUUACUAAACAAUGACACAAAUUUGCUUAUUUCUGUGCCAUUGAUAUACCCUUUCUGCCUCCUUAAAGAGUUAUAUUUCUUUAUUUUUUUUAAAUAUUUAAAAGAAAUUUUUAACAUGAUUGAAUAACACCAGGAAAUUAGUGCUUGUAAACCUGCCUAA